rnacentral:rRNA from 1 species
UGGGGAAUAUUGCACAAUGGGCGCAAGCCUGAUGCAGCCAUGCCGCGUGUAUGAAGAAGGCCUUCGGGUUGUAAAGUACUUUCAGCGGGGAGGAAGGGAGUAAAGUUAAUACCUUUACUCAUUGACGUUACCCGCAGAAGAAGCACCGGCUAACUCCGUGCCAGCAGCCGCGGUAAUACGGAGGGUGCAAGCGCUAAUCGGAAUUACUGGGCGUAAAGCGCACGCAGGCGGGUUGUUAAGUCAGAUGUGAAAUCCCCGGGCUCAACCUGGGAAGUGCAUUUGAUACUGGCAAGCUUGAGUCUCGUAGAGGGGGGUAGAAUUCCAGGUGUAGCGGUGAAAUGCGUAGAGAUCUGGAGGAAUACCGGUGGCGAAGGCGGCCCCCUGGACGAAGACUGACGCUCAGGUGCGAAAGCGUGGGGAGCAAACAGG